rnacentral:rRNA from 1 species
GGACGACGCUGGCGGCGUGCCUAAUACAUGCAAGUCGAACGGUCUUUCUAUGGAAGCUUGCUUCCGCUGAGAAGAUAGUGGCGAACGGGUGAGUAACACGUGGGUAACCUGCCCAUAAGAGGGGGGAUAACAUCCGGAAACGGGUGCUAAUACCGCAUAGUUUUCUUGAUCGCAUGAUUGAGAAAGGAAAGACGGCCUUUGUGCUGUCGCUUAUGGAUGGACCCGCGGCGUAUUAGUUAGUUGGUGAGGUAAUGGCUCACCAAGACGAUGAUACGUAGCCGACCUGAGAGGGUGAUCGGCCACAUUGGGACUGAGACACGGCCCAAACUCCUACGGGAGGCAGCAGUAGGGAAUCUUCCGCAAUGGACGAAAGUCUGACGGAGCAACGCCGCGUGAGUGAAAGAAGGUUUUCGGAUCGUAAAACUCUGUUGUCAGAGAAGAACAAGUUGGAGGGUAACUGCUCCAGCCUUGACGGUAUCUGACCAGAAAGCCACGGCUAACUACGUGCCAGCCGCCGC